CAGUCGCCACGGUAAUACGUAGGGUGCGAGCGUUAAUCGGAAUUACUGGGCGUAAAGCGUGCGCAGGCGGUUCGUUAAGACAGAUGUGAAAUCCCCGGGCUUAACCUGGGAACUGCAUUUGUGACUGGCGAGCUAGAGUAUGGCAGAGGGGGGUAGAAUUCCACGUGUAGCAGUGAAAUGCGUAGAGAUGUGGAGGAAUACCGAUGGCGAAGGCAGCCCCCUGGGCCUGUACUGACGCUCAUGCACGAAAGCGUGGGGAGCAAACAGGAUUAGAUACCCCCGUAGUCCCUGUCUCUUAUAC
rnacentral:rRNA from 1 species